GACGAACCGUGCGAACGUUGUUCGGAAUCACUGGGCUUAAAGGGCGCGUAGGCGGGCUGUCAAGUCUGGGGUGAAAUCCCACGGCUCAACCGUGGAACUGCCUUAGAUACUGACGGCCUCGAGGAAGGUAGGGGCAUGCGGAACUGUAGGUGGAGCGGUGAAAUGCGUUGAUAUCUACAGGAACUCCGGUGGCGAAAGCGGCGUGCUGGACCUUUUCUGACGCUGAGGCGCGAAAGCUAGGGGAGCAAACGGG
rnacentral:rRNA from 2 species